rnacentral:rRNA from 1 species
AGAGUUUGAUCCUGGCUCAGGACGAACGCUGGCGGCGUGCCUAACACAUGCAAGUCGAACGGACCGAAUUAGAGCUUGCUCUGAGGAGGUUAGUGGCGGACGGGUGAGUAACGCGUGAGUAACCUGCCUGUAAGAGAGGGAUAACGUCUGGAAACGGACGCUAAUACCACAUAAAAUUUAAGCAUCGCAUGGUGAAUAAAUCAAAGGAGAAAUCCGCUUACAGAUGGACUCGCGUCCGAUUAGCUAGUUGGUGGGGUAAAGGCCUACCAAGGCGACGAUCGGUAGCCGGACUGAGAGGUUGAACGGCCACAUUGGGACUGAGACACGGCCCAGACUCCUACGGGAGGCAGCAGUGGGGGAUAUUGCACAAUGGGGGAAACCCUGAUGCAGCAACGCCGCGUGAGGGAAGAAGGUUUUCGGAUUGUAAACCUCUGUCCUUAGUGAAGAUAAUGACGGUAGCUAAGGAGGAAGCUCCGGCUAACUACGUGCCAGCAGCCGCGGUAAUACGUAGGGAGCGAGCGUUGUCCGGAUUUACUGGGUGUAAAGGGUGCGUAGGCGGCAAUGCAAGUCAGAUGUGAAAUACAUGGGCUUAACCGAUGAACUGCAUUUGAAACUGUGUUGCUUGAGUGAAGUAGAGGCAGGCGGAAUUCCCUGUGUAGCGGUGAAAUGCGUAGAGAUAGGGAGGAACACCAGUGGCGAAGGCGGCCUGCUGGGCUUUAACUGACGCUGAAGCACGAAAGCAUGGGUAGCAAACAGGAUUAGAUACCCUGGUAGUCCAUGCCGUAAACGAUGA